AACUAGGAUUAGAUACCCCAGUAUUAAUAAUUUUAUAUAAUUAUUAUGGUGAGAAAUUUAAAAUUUUUGGCGGUUAAUUAUUAUGUUAGGGGAGCUUGUUUAUAGAAAUUACUCUUUACAUUUUAUUAAUUUUUGUUUAUUUAUCUCCGUUAUAAGGUGAAAACUUUAUAAGUUUUUGGUUAUAUUUCAGGUCAAGAUGUAGCAAUAAUUAAAAAGAAUUAGCUACAUUGAUGUAGUAAUGGAUCUAGUAAGGGAAAACUUUUGGUGAAAUUGAAUUUAAUUGUAAUUUAAUUUAUGAUGAUUAAAUGAAAUUUUAUAAUUUAUGUAUAUAUUGCCCGUCACUUCUAUUGGUAAAAUAGAAUAAGUCGUAA
rnacentral:rRNA from 1 species